rnacentral:rRNA from 1 species
AUACGGAGGGGGUUAGCGUUGUUCGGAAUUACUGGGCGUAAAGCGCACGUAGGCGGACUGGAAAGUUGGGGGUGAAAUCCCGGGGCUCAACCCCGGAACUGCCUCCAAAACGUCCAAUCUCGAGAUCGAGAGAGGUGAGUGGAAUUCCAAGUGUAGAGGUGAAAUUCGUAGAUAUUUGGAGGAACACCAGUGGCGAAGGCGGCUCACUGGCUCGAUACUGACGCUGAGGUGCGAAAGCGUGGGGAGCAAACAGGAUUAGAAACCCUAGUAGUCC